UACAGAGGGUGCAAGCGUUAAUCGGAAUGACUGGGCGUAAAGGGCGUGUAGGCGGUUUGUUAAGUGAGAUGUGAAAUCCCUGGGCUUAACCUAGGAAUGGCAUCUUAUACUGACAGGCUAGAGUGAGGUAGAGGGAAGUGGAAUUUCCGGUGUAGCGGUGAAAUGCGUAGAUAUCGGAAGGAACACCAGUGGCGAAGGCGGCUUUCUGGACCUUAACUGACGCUGAGGCGCGAAAGCGUGGGGAGCAAACAGG
rnacentral:rRNA from 1 species